UACGUAGGUGGCAAGCGUUGUCCGGAUUUAUUGGGUUUAAAGGGUGCGUAGGCGGCUUUGUAAGUCAGUGGUGAAAUAUGGCAGCUCAACUGUCAGGGUGCCAUUGAUACUGCAGAGCUUGAGUACAGAUGAGGUAGGCGGAAUUGACGGUGUAGCGGUGAAAUGCGUAGAUAUCGGGAGGAACAUCAGUGGCGAAGGCGGCCUUCUGGUCCAGUACUGACACUCAAGUGCGAAAGCGUGGGGAGCAAACAGG
rnacentral:rRNA from 1 species